rnacentral:misc_RNA from 1 species
AGUAAAAAAGGGCAACCAAUGCCAACAAAAUGGUCGUUUUAUUAUAUUGCAUCGUUUUAAGCUUGGACUUGCGCAGCAGACAAAUCCUGGGGCGACAAAUCCAAUCAAAUCCAAUCAAAUCCCAAAUCCAAAUCGUGUCACAUCACGUGCGCCGUCAAGCGGAAGCGCAGAGCAUCUUGUCGAUCGCGGUCGAUCGCUCUUUGAUCCUCACAGUCACCUCACAGUGUUAACAGUUCACAUCGAAGAGGUUGCGUGGCGGAUUUAGACUGAGACUGAGACAGCCCGACGAUCCCAAUUGCAAUCCAGUUCCAGACGAGUUGACGAGUUUGUCGACUUCUUUUGAAAGCCAAGAGCCUAGUUCGGCGGAAGAGGUGUGUACCUACACAAUAUCGGUGGCUCUGACUGUCAAUGGGUUCCAGCGUAUACCGCAAUUUCCUCCGUCUGCUGGAGACGUGGCCGGCCGACCGAACCAAGGCAGGCAGGUCAGUG